rnacentral:rRNA from 1 species
ACGGGAGGCAGCAGUGGGGAAUAUUGGGCAAUGGAGGCAACUCUGACCCAGCGACGCCGCGUGAGCGAAGAAGGUCUUCGGAUUGUAAAGCUCUGUUGACAGGGACGAUAAUGACGGUACCUGUCGAGGAAGCCACGGCUAACUACGUGCCAGCAGCCGCGGUAAUACGUAGGUGGCAAGCGUUAUCCGGAUUUACUGGGUGUAAAGGGUGUGUAGGCGGGGGAGCAAGUCAGAUGUGAAAUCUAUGGGCUCAACUCAUAGACUGCGUCUGAAACUGUUCUUCUUGAGAGUCGGAGGGGUAAUCGGAAUUCCUAGUGUAGCGGUGAAAUGCGUAGAUAUUAGGAGGAACACCAGUGGCGAAGGCGGCUUACUGGACGAUAACUGACGUUGAGGCUCGAAAGCGUGGGGAGCAAACAGGAUUAGAUACCCUGGUA